rnacentral:rRNA from 1 species
UACGGAGGGUGCAAGCGUUAUCCGGAUUCACUGGGUUUAAAGGGUGCGUAGGUGGGCUUGUAAGUCAGUGGUGAAAUCUCCGGGCUUAACCCGGAAACUGCCAUUGAUACUAUAGGUCUUGAAUUAUCUGGAGGUCAGCGGAAUAUGUCAUGUAGCGGUGAAAUGCCUAGAUAUGACAUAGAACACCAAUUGCGAAGGCAGCUGGCUACAGGUAUAUUGACACUGAGGCACGAAAGCGUGGGGAUCAAACAGG